GUGGGGUGUACAGAGUGGUUAUAUACCGUCAAAGAGCAUGUAUCACAUAUGAUUGCAAUGUCCCUUUUACAAUAGUCUCAAGAUUGCCCUGUCGGCACAACAACUGAUGGACACAGCAGGUAGCAGAUCUGUGGUCUCCAGCUGGGUAGUCACAGAGUGAGCACAGCAAUCAAUUCCUAGCCUAGGGAGAGAUGCUUAUCCUUAAGGAAAUGCUGUUGUGGGGGAAG